GCCUGGGUGGCUCAGUCGGUUGAGCAUCCGAUUUUGGAUCAGGUCACUAUCUCACAGCUCGUGAGUUCAAGCCCCGCAUCAGGCU
rfam:Felis catus isolate Cinnamon breed Abyssinian chromosome B3, whole genome shotgun sequence.